AGAGUUUGAUCCUGGCUCAGGACGAACGCUGGCGGCGUGCUUAACACAUGCAAGUCGAACGGUGAACCCGCUUCGGUGGGGGAUCAGUGGCGAACGGGUGAGUAACACGUGGGCAACCUGCCCCCGGCUCUGGGAUAACUCCAAGAAAUUGGGGCUAAUACCGGAUAUGACCGCUGACCGCAUGGUCUGGUGGUGGAAAGUUUUUUCGGUUGGGGAUGGGCUCGCGGCCUAUCAGCUUGUUGGUGGGGUAGUGGCCUACCAAGGCGACGACGGGUAGCCGGCCUGAGAGGGCGACCGGCCACACUGGGACUGAGACACGGCCCAGACUCCUACGGGAGGCAGCAGUGGGGAAUAUUGCGCAAUGGGCGGAAGCCUGACGCAGCGACGCCGCGUGGGGGAUGACGGCCUUCGGGUUGUAAACCUCUUUCAGCAGGGACGAAGUUGACGUGUACCUGCAGAAGAAGCGCCGGCUAACUACGUGCCAGCAGCCGCGGUAAUACGUAGGGCGCAAGCGUUGUCCGGAAUUAUUGGGCGUAAAGAGCUCGUAGGUGGCUGGUCGCGUCUGCCGUGAAAGCCCGCAGCUUAACUGCGGGUCUGCGGUGGAUACGGGCCGGCUAGAGGUAGGUAGGGGCAAGUGGAAUUCCUGGUGUAGCGGUGAAAUGCGCAGAUAUCAGGAGGAACACCGGUGGCGAAGGCGGCUUGCUGGGCCUUACCUGACGCUGAGGAGCGAAAGCGUGGGGAGCGAACAGGAUUAGAUACCCCCGUAGUCC
rnacentral:rRNA from 1 species